CCAAGGCGACGAGGAGCCGGCCUUCGUCUCCAGCUGUGCUGUGCAGUCCUUACGCCACAGCGGCCCGGCUUCGGCAAACACCACCAUCCGCGUUGGCUGGAAGUGCAGGUGCAGCGGCCUAGGCCAAAGGUGCCAAGAGGUCCUCGUGCGCCAGACGAGAGGGUUGUAGUAGUUGAUCGUGUGCCGCGGCUCGAAGCUGCCAUUAGAGGAUUCGCUGAUAGGGGGACUGAGGUCGUCGUCAACCCGGUGAUUUGUUCAAUUCAGCGUUUUGAUUUGGACCUAUGAUUUCCUGCAGUUAGGCUUAAUUUGGACCUGUGAUUUGUUCUUCCAAUAAGCGACAUGCCUUGCUGGAUAGUACUGUAAUUUGAACACCUGCUGUUAGGCUUAGUUUGGACAUGUGUUCUGAUUUACAAAUAAGCGAUGUCACAACUUGGUGAUCUGUAAUUUGAUUUAGUGUUGUUAUGUUUGUUUUUCCUGCUUCGA